UGCGGACCUGGAGGGAUGUUCCUGUAGAUGCCCCGCAGCUUCUGGUAAAAAUGAACCAGAUAAAACACCACGAAGAAGAGCAGUAAAGGCACAAGGUUGGAAGGUGACAGAGCGAAGCUGCUGAGGUCUCCCGGCCAUGACAAGGCUGGCACUGGUACUGCAUUCCUAUUGGCUGACACCGCUCUAGACCUGCUCUGAUUGCUGAAUUCCUUCACCAAUACGCCGUUUGGUUUAUGCCCAGGAGGAUUAUGGAGCAACAAGACAGUGGCCUUGGGAGUUCCGGUCACUCGUCUCGUGAGCUUUGCACCAUUGAGUACGUCUUGCAGGGGUUCUUCAGG